CAGCCGCCGCGGUAAUACGUAGGUGGCAAGCGUUGUCCGGAAUUAUUGGGCGUAAAGGGCUCGCAGGGGGUUUCUUAAGUCUGAUGUGAAAGCCCCCGGCUCAACCGGGGAGGGUCAUUGGAAACUGGGAAACUUGAGUGCAGAAGAGGAGAGUGGAAUUCCACGUGUAGCGGUGAAAUGCGUAGAGAUGUGGAGGAACACCAGUGGCGAAGGCGACUCUCUGGUCUGUAACUGACGCUGAGGAGCGAAAGCGUGGGGAGCGAACAGGAUUAGAUACCCCGGUAGUCCCUGUCUCUUAUAC
rnacentral:rRNA from 1 species